GUACCCUUGACUGGAAUUGAAUUGGGACCAUUCAGUCCGCAGUCCGGCGCUCUGUCCACUGAGCCAAACCGGCUAGGGCUACAUAUACUCACUUCUCUCUUAAUUUGAGAUCUUCUGCUUGACCUUGCUGUCUGGGUUGGACAGAGACUGGAAUUAGAUGAAAGUCCUCUGGGGAAGAAACGGCUGUGUGGCUUGUUUGAGUGACACAGAAAAGGAGCUGUACAGUGGCACAGUAAAGCAUUCCAGUCCAGUGCCAGGCAUCUUCAGUAUAGUCUGAGACCUGUUCAGACGGGGGCCACGGGGGAGGUCAUGACAUCAUCCUAUGAGCUUCACUUCCAUGUUUUGGUGCAUAUAGUAGGCAUUGUGUUCCACAGCAUCUUAUGCAUACUUUAUGGCCUGCGUGUAUCUUUGUUCUUUGGUGCUUGUGGUAUUUGGGAUGAUAGGAAUAUUUGUGUCUGCUUGUACAUGUAGGUGGUUUUGUUAAGGGCAUAUUUGGAUCAUAUGGGAGGUCAUAUGGCUAAGAGUGUGAAGAGGAGGGUUAUGAAAAAUAUGCAAGUCUCAUAAAGGCUUAUAUAUGGAAGUAAUUUCAGUGUUCUCAAACUAGAUUUUGAGGGCUUUUAAUUUUUCUUAUAUUUUAAACUUACCUUUCUGUGGCCUAAUUUUUUUCUUUUUAAAUGAAUUUUAAUAUGUGAGUCACAGGAAAGAAAUUCCUCUUUUUAGAAUAAAAGUGUUUAUGCUAUUUCUGAAUCAUAUUUAACAUUAGUGAGACUGACAUGUCCCAGAAGAUUCUGUACUUAAUUACUCCUUCCUUUAAAAAAAAUAUAUUUUUAUUGAUUUCAGAGAGGAAGAAAGGGAAGGAAGGAAGGAAGGAGGGAGGAAAAAGAGAGAGAGAGAGAGAA